UACGAAGGGGGCUAGCGUUGUUCGGAAUUACUGGGCGUAAAGCGCGCGCAGGCGGUUCUUCAAGUCAGGGGUGAAAGCCCAGAGCUCAACUCUGGAAUUGCCUUUGAAACUGGAGAACUUGAGUACGGGAGAGGUGAGUGGAAUUCCCAGUGUAGAGGUGAAAUUCGUAGAUAUCGGGAGGAACACCUGUGGCGAAAGCGGCUCACUGGACCACAACUGACGCUGAGGCGCGAAAGCUAGGGGAGCAAACAGG
rnacentral:rRNA from 1 species